AGCGUACACGGUGGAUGCCCUGGCAGUCAGAGGCGAUGAAGGACGUGCUAAUCUGCGAUAAGCGUCGGUAAGGUGAUAUGAACCGUUAUAACCGGCGAUUUCCGAAUGGGGAAACCCAGUGUGUUUCGACACACUAUCAUUAACUGAAUCCAUAGGUUAAUGAGGCGAACCGGGGGAACUGAAACAUCUAAGUACCCCGAGGAAAAGAAAUCAACCGAGAUUCCCCCAGUAGCGGCGAGCGAACGGGGAGGAGCCCAGAGCCUGAAUCAGUGUGUGUGUUAGUGGAAGCGUCUGGAAAGGCGCGCGAUACAGGGUGACAGCCCCGUACACAAAAAUGCACAUGCUGUGAGCUCGAUGAGUAGGGCGGGACACGUGGUAUCCUGUCUGAAUAUGGGGGGACCAUCCUCCAAGGCUAAAUACUCCUGACUGACCGAUAGUGAACCAGUACCGUGAGGGAAAGGCGAAAAGAACCCCGGCGAGGGGAGUGAAAAAGAACCUGAAACCGUGUACGUACAAGCAGUGGGAGCCUCUUAAUGGGGUGACUGCGUACCUUUUGUAUAAUGGGUCAGCGACUUAUAUUCUGUAGCAAGGUUAACCGAAUAGGGGAGCCGAAGGGAAACCGAGUCUUAACUGGGCGUUAAGUUGCAGGGUAUAGACCCGAAACCCGGUGAUCUAGCCAUGGGCAGGUUGAAGGUUGGGUAACACUAACUGGAGGACCGAACCGACUAAUGUUGAAAAAUUAGCGGAUGACUUGUGGCUGGGGGUGAAAGGCCAAUCAAACCGGGAGAUAGCUGGUUCUCCCCGAAAGCUAUUUAGGUAGCGCCUCGUGAAUUCAUCUCCGGGGGUAGAGCACUGUUUCGGCAAGGGGGUCAUCCCGACUUACCAACCCGAUGCAAACUGCGAAUACCGGAGAAUGUUAUCACGGGAGACACACGGCGGGUGCUAACGUCCGUCGUGAAGAGGGAAACAACCCAGACCGCCAGCUAAGGUCCCAAAGUCAUGGUUAAGUGGGAAACGAUGUGGGAAGGCCCAGACAGCCAGGAUGUUGGCUUAGAAGCAGCCAUCAUUUAAAGAAAGCGUAAUAGCUCACUGGUCGAGUCGGCCUGCGCGGAAGAUGUAACGGGGCUAAACCAUGCACCGAAGCUGCGGCAGCGACACUAUGUGUUGUUGGGUAGGGGAGCGUUCUGUAAGCCUGCGAAGGUGUACUGUGAGGUAUGCUGGAGGUAUCAGAAGUGCGAAUGCUGACAUAAGUAACGAUAAAGCGGGUGAAAAGCCCGCUCGCCGGAAGACCAAGGGUUCCUGUCCAACGUUAAUCGGGGCAGGGUGAGUCGACCCCUAAGGCGAGGCCGAAAGGCGUAGUCGAUGGGAAACAGGUUAAUAUUCCUGUACUUGGUGUUACUGCGAAGGGGGGACGGAGAAGGCUAUGUUGGCCGGGCGACGGUUGUCCCGGUUUAAGCGUGUAGGCUGGUUUUCCAGGCAAAUCCGGAAAAUCAAGGCUGAGGCGUGAUGACGAGGCACUACGGUGCUGAAGCAACAAAUGCCCUGCUUCCAGGAAAAGCCUCUAAGCAUCAGGUAACAUCAAAUCGUACCCCAAACCGACACAGGUGGUCAGGUAGAGAAUACCAAGGCGCUUGAGAGAACUCGGGUGAAGGAACUAGGCAAAAUGGUGCCGUAACUUCGGGAGAAGGCACGCUGAUAUGUAGGUGAAGUCCCUCGCGGAUGGAGCUGAAAUCAGUCGAAGAUACCAGCUGGCUGCAACUGUUUAUUAAAAACACAGCACUGUGCAAACACGAAAGUGGACGUAUACGGUGUGACGCCUGCCCGGUGCCGGAAGGUUAAUUGAUGGGGUUAGCGGUAACGCGAAGCUCUUGAUCGAAGCCCCGGUAAACGGCGGCCGUAACUAUAACGGUCCUAAGGUAGCGAAAUUCCUUGUCGGGUAAGUUCCGACCUGCACGAAUGGCGUAAUGAUGGCCAGGCUGUCUCCACCCGAGACUCAGUGAAAUUGAACUCGCUGUGAAGAUGCAGUGUACCCGCGGCAAGACGGAAAGACCCCGUGAACCUUUACUAUAGCUUGACACUGAACAUUGAGCCUUGAUGUGUAGGAUAGGUGGGAGGCUUUGAAGUGUGGACGCCAGUCUGCAUGGAGCCGGCCUUGAAAUACCACCCUUUAAUGUUUGAUGUUCUAACGUUGGCCCCUGAUCGGGGUUGCGGACAGUGUCUGGUGGGUAGUUUGACUGGGGCGGUCUCCUCCUAAAGAGUAACGGAGGAGCACGAAGGUUGGCUAAUCCUGGUCGGACAUCAGGAGGUUAGUGCAAUGGCAUAAGCCAGCUUGACUGCGAGCGUGACGGCGCGAGCAGGUGCGAAAGCAGGUCAUAGUGAUCCGGUGGUUCUGAAUGGAAGGGCCAUCGCUCAACGGAUAAAAGGUACUCCGGGGAUAACAGGCUGAUACCGCCCAAGAGUUCAUAUCGACGGCGGUGUUUGGCACCUCGAUGUCGGCUCAUCACAUCCUGGGGCUGAAGUAGGUCCCAAGGGUAUGGCUGUUCGCCAUUUAAAGUGGUACGCGAGCUGGGUUUAGAACGUCGUGAGACAGUUCGGUCCCUAUCUGCCGUGGGCGCUGGAGAACUGAGGGGGGCUGCUCCUAGUACGAGAGGACCGGAGUGGACGCAUCACUGGUGUUCGGGUUGUCAUGCCAAUGGCACUGCCCGGUAGCUAAAUGCGGAAGAGAUAAGUGCUGAAAGCAUCUAAGCACGAAACUUGCCCCGAGAUGAGUUCU
rnacentral:rRNA from 1 species